rnacentral:rRNA from 1 species
CAGUGGGGAAUAUUGCGCAAUGGACGAAAGUCUGACGCAGCGACGCCGCGUGGAGGAUGAAGGUUUUCGGAUCGUAAACUCCUGUCAAGAGGGAAGAAACCUAUUAAGAAUAAUACUCUUAGUAAUUGACGGUACCUCUAGAGGAAGCACCGGCUAAUUCAGUGCCAGCAGCCGCGGUAAUACUGAAGGUGCAAGCGUUAAUCGGAAUCACUGGGCGUAAAGCGCUCGUAGGUGGCUUUGUAAGUCAGAUGUGAAAGCCCACGGCUCAACCGUGGAAUUGCAUUUGAUACUGCAUCGCUAGAGUAUAGGAGAGGGAAGUGGAAUUUCUGGUGUAGGAGUGAAAUCCGUAGAGAUCAGAAGGAACACCGGUGGCGAAGGCGACUUCCUGGACUAUUACUGACACUGAGGAGCGAAAGCGUGGGGAGCAAACAGGAUUAGAUACCCUGGUAGUCCACGCCGUAAACGAUGGGUACUAAGUGUCGGAGGCUUGACCUUCGGUGCUGUAGUUAACGCGUUAAGUACCCCGCCUGGGGAGUACGGUCGCAAGGCUGAAACUCAAAGGAA